UAAUUUUAGUUGGUAUUUCAAGGGAAGAUGGGCGAUUCCGAACAAUCCUCUGUCCCCAGCAAUGAAGGCAGCGAUGCUGAGGCCAGUGAGGACGACCAACAGCCCACCGCCGCGUAUGGUUGGGGCAGGGAGCCCAGAUACUCUGCUGAGGAGCUGCCAUCGCGUGUAACAAAUGUGGAGGAAGAAGAUGCGUCAGCAGCUGCGUCCGACAGAAGACGAGUAGCUUGGCCACCAGAAUCUCGAUUCGUUUGGGACUCCGACUGGUGCGAGCGUGGACAAAAGUGUAUAGCCAUGCCCAGCCCGCGGGAAUGAUUUUGCUGGUAGGAUGCUGCCGUCGCUGUCGACAAGACGGCCCAAGGUUUCUUGCGUAGCGGACCUCGCAGAUUACGAGAUCGUAUCCUUGCAUUAGGCUGUGCUCAUCACUGCUCUUCGAGGUUAUCUCGACAUGCAGAAGCCGCCAAUGCCAGUGACAGAAGAGUCUGACAUUAGAUCUCUACGCUAUGCGGCACACAGGCAGUACACACUAUGUACACGGCAAAUUGGGCAAGCACGUUCGUUGUCGUCUUCCAGCCUGCGUUGUGAAUACCAUCAGGCAAAGAUAUCCAAAUCCUGCACCACCUCAGCCUUCUCAGGAGGCUUCCACCUGGAAUUUGGCAGGGAAACACGCUUCUCCAAGGCAGGAACAUGGAGGUUGCCAUUUGCAACCGCUACCACCUCACACAUGAGCUUGUCAACAUACUCAUAGCUCUUUCUGUCGUAUAAUUUUCUAUUUGGCCACAGUCUUCUUUAUGCUUUGAGAACUGGACUUUAUACCUUCC